rnacentral:rRNA from 1 species
GACAGAGGAUGCAAGCGUUAUCCGGAAUGAUUGGGCGUAAAGCGUCUGUAGGUGGCUUUUAAGUCCGCCGUCAAAUCCCAGGGCUCAACCCUGGACAGGCGGUGGAAACUACCAAGCUGGAGUACGGUAGGGGCAGAGGGAAUUUCCGGUGGAGCGGUGAAAUGCGCAGAUAUCGGGAAGAACACCCGUGGCGAAGGCGGCACUCUGGGACGGUACUGACGCUGAGACGCGAAAGCGUGGGGAGCGAACGAGG